rnacentral:rRNA from 1 species
GAAUAUUGCACAAUGGGCGCAAGCCUGACGCAGCGACGCCGCGUGAGUGAUGAAGGCCUUCGGGUCGUAAAACUCUGUCCUCAGGGAAGAAAAUUUGACGGUACCUGAGGAGGAAGCCCCGGCUAACUACGUGCCAGCAGCCGCGGUAAUACGUAGGGGGCGAGCGUUGUCCGGAAUUAUUGGGCGUAAAGGGUGCGUAGGCGGCCUUUUAAGUCAGGUGUGAAAGACCACAGCUUAACUGUGGGGUUGCACUUGAAACUGGGAGGCUUGAGUAUCGGAGAGGGCAGUGGAAUUCCCGGUGUAGCGGUGAAAUGCGUAGAUAUUAGGAGGAACACCAGUGGCGAAGGCGGCUUACUGGACUGUAACUGACACUGAGGCUCGAAAGCGUGGGGAGCAAACA